UGGCUCACUUGGUAGAGCAUGGCACUUGCAAUGCCAGGGUUGUGGAUUCGAUUCCCAU
rnacentral:tRNA from 1 species